ensembl:lncRNA
AUUUCCCUUUCUCUUUCUUCCUGCCUAUAUUGCCAAGAGAAGUAGCUCUUCAGUCACCAGGAAGAGAGUGACACUUAAGUUGUGUCCAUGCCUUGGCUAUUGUGAAUAAUGCUGCAUGAAGAGGACUGUGCAGAUAUUUUUUACAAGAUACUGAUUUCGUUUCAUUCACAUAUAGACCUAGAUGUGAGAUUCCUGGGUCAUAUGCCAUUCUGCAAGAUGUAAGGUGACAUCUCACUGCGAUUUUGAUUAGCAUUUCCGCAGCCAUGAAAUUAAAAGACGCUUACUCCUUGGAAGGAAAGUUAUGACCAAACUAGAUAGCAUAUUCAAAAGCAGAGACAUUACUUUGCCAACAGAGGUUCGUCUAGUCAAGGCUAUGGUUUUUCCUGUGGUCAUGUAUGGAUGUGAGAGUUGGACUGUGAAGAAGGUGAGCGCCAAAGAAUUGAUGCUUUUGAACUGUGGUGUUGGAGAAGACUCUUGAGAGUCCCUUGGACUGCAAGG